rnacentral:rRNA from 1 species
GGGGCCCGCACAAGCGGUGGAGCAUGUGGUUUAAUUCGAUGCAACGCGAAGAACCUUACCUGGUCUUGACAUCCACGGAAGUUUUCAGAGAUGAGAAUGUGCCUUCGGGAACCGUGAGACAGGUGCUGCAUGGCUGUCGUCAGCUCGUGUCGUGAGAUGUUGGGUUAAGUCCCGCAACGAGCGCAACCCUUAUCAUUAGUUGCUACGCAAGGGCACUCUAAUGAGACUGCCGGUGACAAACCGGAGGAAGUGGGGAUGACGUCAAGUCCUCAUGGCCCUUAUGGGUAGGGCUUCACACGUCAUACAAUGGUCGGUACAGAGGGUUGCCAAGCCGCGAGGCGGAGCCAAUCCCACAAAGCCGAUCGUAGUCCGGAUUGUUCUCUGCAACUCGAGAGCAUGAAGUCGGAAUCGCUAGUAAUCGCAGGUCAGCAUACUGCGGUGAAUACGUUCCCGGGUCUU